GGUGGAUGUAAGCGUUGACUUUUAUCCCCACAGAGAAGGGAAAUUUUCUACUAACAAGAGUAGUAUUUCUAGUGCCAGAACCCUAUCCAUCCGUAUCUUAUGGAAAGACAAGAAGCUCAGAAGCUGCUGGAAGGGAGCCCAGCGCUCAGGACCCCAGGAAACAGCCAGAGUUCUGUUGCUGCUUUGACUGAAAAAAAAAAAAAACCACCUCGGGGAUAAUUGAAGCUCACUUCAGGUGUGUCUGUGAGAGCUCGUCCUAAGGUCCGUUGGCUACUCCCUCAUCAGAGCUGAUUACGUUUCUGUCAGUUGCU
ensembl:lncRNA